AGAGUUUGAUCCUGGCUCAGGACGAACGCUGGCGGCGUGCCUAAUACAUGCAAGUAGAACGCUGAAGAGAGGAGCUUGCUCUUCUUGGAUGAGUUGCGAACGGGUGAGUAACGCGUAGGUAACCUGCCUUGUAGCGGGGGAUAACUAUUGGAAACGAUAGCUAAUACCGCAUAACAAUGGGUGACACAUGUCAUUUAUUUGAAAGGGGCAAUUGCUCCACUACAAGAUGGACCUGCGUUGUAUUAGCUAGUAGGUGAGGUAACGGCUCACCUAGGCGACGAUACAUAGCCGACCUGAGAGGGUGAUCGGCCACACUGGGACUGAGACACGGCCCAGACUCCUACGGGAGGCAGCAGUAGGGAAUCUUCGGCAAUGGGGGCAACCCUGACCGAGCAACGCCGCGUGAGUGAAGAAGGUUUUCGGAUCGUAAAGCUCUGUUGUAAGUCAAGAACGAGUGUGAGAGUGGAAAGUUCACACUGUGACGGUAGCUUACCAGAAAGGGACGGCUAACUACGUGCCAGCAGCCGCGGUAAUACGUAGGUCCCGAGCGUUGUCCGGAUUUAUUGGGCGUAAAGCGAGCGCAGGCGGUUUGAUAAGUCUGAAGUUAAAGGCUGUGGCUCAACCAUAGUUCGCUUUGGAAACUGUCAAACUUGAGUGCAGAAGGGGAGAGUGGAAUUCCAUGUGUAGCGGUGAAAUGCGUAGAUAUAUGGAGGAACACCGGUGGCGAAAGCGGCUCUCUGGUCUGUAACUGACGCUGAGGCUCGAAAGCGUGGGGAGCGAACAGGAUUAGAUACCCUGGUAGUCCACGCCGUAAACGGUGGAUGCUGGAUGUGGGGCCCGUUCCACGGGUUCCGUGUCGGAGCUAACGCGUUAAGCAUCCCGCCUGGGGAGUACGGCCGCAAGGCUAAAACUCAAAGAAAUUGACGGGGGCCCGCACAAGCGGCGGAGCAUGCGGAUUAAUUCGAUGCAACGCGAAGAACCUUACCUGGGCUUGACAUGUUCCCGACCGCGGCAGAGAUGUCGUUUCCCUUCGGGGCGGGUUCACAGGUGGUGCAUGGUCGUCGUCAGCUCGUGUCGUGAGAUGUUGGGUUAAGUCCCGCAACGAGCGCAACCCUCGCCCUGUGUUGCCAGCACGUCAUGGUGGGAACUCACGGGGGACCGCCGGGGUCAACUCGGAGGAAGGUGGGGAUGACGUCAGAUCAUCAUGCCCCUUACGUCCAGGGCUUCACGCAUGCUACAAUGGCCGGUACAACGGGAUGCGACACGGCGACGUGGAGCGGAUCCCUGAAAACCGGUCUCAGUUCGGAUUGGAGUCUGCAACCCGACUCCAUGAAGGCGGAGUCGCUAGUAAUCGCGGAUCAGCAACGCCGCGGUGAAUGCGUUCCCGGGCCUUGUACACACCGCCCGUCAAGUCAUGAAAGUGGGUAGCACCCGAAGCCGGUGGCCUAACCCUUUGUGGAUGGAGCCGUCUAAGGUGAGACUCGUGAUUGGGACUAAGUCGUAACAAGGUAGCCGUACCGGAAGGUGCGGCUG
rnacentral:rRNA from 1 species